rnacentral:rRNA from 1 species
CGUGAGCAAAUCUGCCCCUUCACUUUGGGAUAACCCCCUCGGAAACGAGAGCUAAUACCAAAUACGACCACUUCAGGCAUCUGAUGGUGGUGGAAAGUUCCGGCGGUGAAGGAUGAGCUCGCGGCCUAUCAGCUUGUUGGUGGGGUAGUGGCCCACCAAGGCAUCGACGGGUAGCCGGCCUGAGAGGGUGACCGGCCACACUGGGACUGAGACACGGCCCAGACUCCUACGGGAGGCAGCAGUGGGGAAUAUUGGACAAUGGGCGAAAGCCUGAUCCAGCAACGCCGCGUGAGGGAUGACGGCCUUCGGGUUGUAAACCUCUUUCAUCCAUGACGAAGCGAAAGUGACGGUAGUGGAAGAAGAAGCACCGGCCAACUACGUGC